rnacentral:rRNA from 1 species
AUGCAAGUCGAGCGAACAGACGAGGAGCUUGCUCCUCUGACGUUAGCGGCGGACGGGUGAGUAACACGUGGAUAACCUACCUAUAAGACUGGGAUAACUUCGGGAAACCGGAGCUAAUACCGGAUAAUAUAUUGAACCGCAUGGUUCAAUAGUGAAAGACGGUUUUGCUGUCACUUAUAGAUGGAUCCGCGCCGCAUUAGCUAGUUGGUAAGGUAACGGCUUACCAAGGCAACGAUGCGUAGCCGACCUGAGAGGGUGAUCGGCCACACUGGAACUGAGACACGGUCCAGACUCCUACGGGAGGCAGCAGUAGGAAAUCUUCCGCAAUGGGCGAAAGCCUGACGGAGCAACGCCGCGUGAGUGAUGAAGGUCUUCGGAUCGUAAAACUCUGUUAUUAGGGAAGAAUAAAUGUGUAAGUAACUAUGCACGUCUUGACGGUACCUAAUCAGAAAGCCACGGCUAACUACGUGCCAGCAGCCGCGGUAAUACGUAGGUGGCAAGCGUUAUCCGGAAUUAUUGGGCGUAAAGCGCGCGUAGGCGGUUUUUUAAGUCUGAUGUGAAAGCCCACGGCUCAACCGUGGAGGGUCAUUGGAAACUGGAAAACUUGAGUGCAGAAGAGGAAAGUGGAAUUCCAUGUGUAGCGGUGAAAUGCGCAGAGAUAUGGAGGAACACCAGUGGCGAAGGCGACUUUCUGGUCUGUAACUGACGCUGAUGUGCGAAAG